rnacentral:lncRNA from 1 species
UUUCAGAGUCGCUCUGCAUUAAGUUACAGAUGGAAAAAAGAAGCUUGGAGAAGGGGAAAUGACUUUACCCAGCUAAGAAUAUGGCAAAGCUGAGCCAACUAGUCAAGUUUUCUGACCCCAAAUCCUGUAUUUCCCAUGACUCAUCUUGUGGAAGGCUGAGGGCCUCAGUUUCUCUGUCAGCACCAGAUGGGGACUUCUUCAGCCUGACACUCCAUAACUCAAGGUUGCACCCACAUCUCCUACCUUUGGGGGAAGGAGAGAGGGAUUAUGGGACAGUGGCAUCAAUCUCCUUCCCAGGAUGGAUCCUCUGAGCUCUAUAUUUCUUGCCUAUAGUGACCAGGGAAUUUUCCUCUAUUGAUUGCUUUCUGUAAUCGAGCUUAACAAAUAGAACUUCCCUCAAAUGAUUCUUCCAACUAAACUGAUAGAAAGCUA